rnacentral:lncRNA from 1 species
CCUCCUUUCUACAUCACAGAACUAUACUUACCCCUCUGGCCAGAUCCUCUUCUUGAUCCAGCGCAGAAAAGCCCAGAGCAAGGCUAGAACCCUCCUCUCAGUGUGAAACACUAAGGUGCAGGCUGCUCGGCAGGAAUUUCUGGCAAAUUGGUGCUCGCCAGAGGGACAGACAGACUGACUGGCUCCCGGCCUGCCCGAGCACCUUACAGCAAAUGCCAUCUACCCCGCUGGCCUUAACCAUGCAAGCAACUGCUUUGGCUCCUCUAGUAAUCCACGGUUUUGGUGACAACUUUGCAUACAUUUCUCUCUGCCUGUGGAGAAGGAAGCGUCUGUGGGGGUAUGUACCCAGGAGUAGAGUUACAGUGAGAAGCCAAGUGCUUUCUGUUGAGGAAGUGGGGAAGCCAACUCAGUUGCUAAUGCACCCGUUUUGAAGUGUCUAGGUGAGAAGUGAAUGUGGCUAGAUGGUCUUGAAAAGAUUUGCCAAGUCAAGUUCUGACAAUGAUGUAUUGGGCAACUCCAGGGCUACUGUUACUGUUGCUGUAAUUGUAUUAAGCAAUAGUAGCAAUGGAUUGAGGAUGCUUCGUUCAUGACCACAGAACUCACAAUUAAUAUGUAAACCCAAGGGUUGGUUUAAUAAAGCUGGUGGUCCUUUACAAAUCUUUUUCUCGUCGAUCUUUAGACCAUCAUUGCGUUGAUAAUGCAGUUAAAAAGCAGAUAGAAGGGAAUGAUUUUGUAACCUGAAUCAGCUUCAGAGCUUUGUUGUACAGCAACAAACCUGAUAAACUGAUACUUAAUUGACUACUGAAGACAGCCCAGUUAGAAGAAGCAGUCAAAUUCAAGCUGGUAUUCUGCAGCCAUCUGCAGGAGCACUAAAAAUCUGCCAGGUAACUGCUGAGCCUGGCACCAUCGUGGGCUUAAUGCCUGCUAGUCAGAUAGGCAUUAAAGAGCAAUUUAACAUUCAAAAGAGUAAUUACAGCAGUUCAGAACUGUGAGGCUCAGACGUGGGUGGUUCUGCGCAGGUCUUGGAGCUGCUGUGGAGUUGGCCAGAUCUCAGUUUGGCAGGGACGGCGUUGUGCAGCAUGGUAUGGGGGAGAUGGAGGAGAAGGCUGCCAAGAGCUGACAGGAGGACAUCCAGGGGCCAUCUAGAGAGGGGAACAGGUAUUAGUCCUGGGAGAAGGAGGGACAGAGGCCCUGGAGAAGUGUCUGUGCUGUUCAGUUAGUGAAUCCUCCUGGAUCACAGGGGAGGAUGGCGCAGAACUUUGCCAGGAGUUCUGCUGCGCUGGCAGAUCAGGCUGCACCAGCCAGUAUUCUGUGCCAGGUCUCUGCUCAGCUUCUCACUGAGCAACAGACAGGUAAAUCGGAAAGGACAGGAAGGAUCAAAGGAAAAUAAACCUGUCCUGAAACUGAAUUGUCAGUUUUAUUUAAAUGUAUUUUAUUUAAAUGAGCAUCAGGUGUCAGUGGGACAGCCAGGCCACGUCUGAUCAGGCAGGGUAAGGCUGUGCAGCAGCAAUGCAGCCUCUUGGCACGGGCCGUUCACAGAUCUCUGUGUAUGAAGCAAAACUGAGGUAGCAGGUGAUGUGAAUUAAUACCCAGCUGUAUUAAAAGGGGUAUGAAAUGGCAGGAAAUCUUGCACCUUGACAUGGUUUCUUUUUCCAAAGAGAUGUGUAUGCUAUUGCUGGUCUUCUAAGAGAAGAGGGGUGUCUGUGGAUCCUGUAACGGCUGGAGAAAGGUGGCAGUUUUUAUUAGUGACCCACAGUGGCAAAGGUGGAAGGGUCUGAAGUUGUAAAGAGAUGAUAUGACAAGCAUAGGGGACCCACAUAAUUUGUCACAGUAAGUGUUUUCCAGAGCAUCUUUGGGUGGAUGAAAAUUACUGUAUAUUUUAAGGCUCUUCAAUAACCUUGCUAUCUUGCUUACAGGUGAGGGAGGAUAUUAUAGAUUUGUAUCUUCUGAAGCACAGCUAAGAUGGGGUAAAUUAGAUCACUGGUUCAGUGGAUGAAAUGUUAGAGCGUAUCUCUUAAUCUGGGAAGACCAUGUACUUUGCAGCAAGCUUCAGCUUCAUGUUCUGUGAGCAAGGAGACCGAUGUCUGGAGUAGCUAACUGCUGCUCCCUAAAGCCAAGUCUGGAAAAAAGCAGCCUUCCAUCUUACAAAAUCGUGUGUCAAGCCAGAACCAGCCAUAACAUCACAUGCAUUGGCUUUUUUCUUCUGUUCAAUGAAAGAUGCUUCACUGCGAUAUGAGUGUGCUAUGUGGUUGAGACUAGAACAAUCGCGACAUAAUCCUUAAUUCAAACACAGACAUUAAAGGUUCCCAGCCUGCAAAAUGCUAAUCUUUAUCCAUGGUCAUCAUCUGCAAAGGUGGAAGCAGCUUUAGUCUGUGUUAUGUAAAUAGAACCACUAGCAAGCUUUUCCUAGUAUCAGAAAAUAAAUACAGUUGGAUUCUCAGUGAAGAAAGAAUCUUGCUUUAUAAAAGCAGACACCAACAGAUUCAAAGACACGUCUAACAGUUCAUCAGUUGGCACAGUGCUGCUUUAAUCAGGUUUGUCAUUUUUCUCCCUUUGGAGAACACACACCCUCCCUCCUGUGUCCCUGUUUGUACAUACCAACCCCUGUGCCUUUAACGAGUCAGAAGUCUUAAUUUAGCACUGUUGGUAGGAAUUAAGGGUGUGAUGUUCUCAUUAAUUCAAAGGUGAGCAGCCUGAAAACGCAGGGUGACUCCUAAGAAUAGCGCGAUCAGCAGAGAGGUCUGAGCCCGGCUCUUGGACGAGCCUAGUGCCAGGGCCUGCCCCAGGCAUCGCGAGUGCCUGGGGGGCAGCUGAGGGAGGACGAGCUCACCCAGACAGUUCUUCCCACCUAAUUUGCUAGCUCAUGCCUUCAAGCAGGACUUUCACCAGCGAUGUUCUCUGAUCUGCGUUCAUAUUAUCUAAAUCAGCGCUUCCUCUCCUUCAGUUGGUGCACGAAGGCAUUUCUGUGCCAGCUGACAGGCAGGGGCUGUCCAACCCCUCUGAAACUCUGCUGCAGGAACCUUACUGAAGGUUCUGAGGGCAGCAAAGCUCCGUGCAGCCAAGUUCAGGGGAGCUUCAGAGCUGAUGAGCUGUAGGGGUUCCCCUGCACUGCCUGGGGGGAGGAGGAAGAAGAGAAGUGGACAGGGUAAAGGUGUUUUUAGCUUGCUUUUAUAGCUCCCCACUGCUCUUGUCUGUUAGUAGCAGGCAAUAAAUAUUAAUCUCCCUACACUGAGCAUGUUUUGCCCACGACAGUAACUGAUGAGUGGUCCCAGUCCCAAGAGAGCGAUCCCCUUUUCCUAUUUUCUCCCCCUCUUUGAGGAGGAGGAGGCGUGAGAGAGCGGCUGCAGCGGGGUUCAUCCACCACCUUCCUUCCCAGCCAGUCCCCAGCGAUGUCUCGGGCAGCACGGGGCAGGGCGUUCAGCUCUCGGGCGAGUACAGUUUGACCAGGUGCUGCAGCUCCGUGGCGUAGCCGGUGAC